UAACCAUUCUCAAGCUACAUAAUUCUCAGGAAGAGUGUAGCAUGGAACUGAGUGUUCCCGGUAUGAGUGCCUCGGCGCUGUAACUGGGAGACUUGAAACUGAUCUCGCGGGAGCAGUGGUCAUUAAGGAUCAGCUCGUUGCAGGUGUACUAGUUGGAGGCGUCGCAAGGCGUUUUCAUUCUUAGCACCAAUACGUAACGUUCAGAUCUGACAACUGUCACCGACGAACGCAGGAACUUGGACGACGGCGCAAGCCUGACUCUUAAU
rnacentral:misc_RNA from 1 species